ACGAACGCUGGCGGCAGGCUUAACACAUGCAAGUCGAACGCACCUUUCGGGGUGAGUGGCAGACGGGUGAGUAACGCGUGGGAACGUGCCCUUCAGUUCGGAAUAACCCAGGGAAACUUGGGCUAAGACCGGAUACGUGCGAGAGCAGAAAGAUUUAUCGCUGAAGGAUCGGCCCGCGUCUGAUUAGCUGGUUGGUGAGGUAAUGGCUCACCAAGGCGACGAUCAGUAGCUGGUCUGAGAGGAUGAUCAGCCACAUUGGGACUGAGACACGGCCCAAACUCCUACGGGAGGCAGCAGUGGGGAAUAUUGGACAAUGGGCGCAAGCCUGAUCCAGCCAUGCCGCGUGGAUGAUGAAGGCCCUAGGGUUGUAAAGUCCUUUCGGCGGGGAAGAUAAUGACGGUACCCGCAGAAAAAGCCCCGGCUAACUUCGUGCCAGCCGCCGCAGUAAAAC
rnacentral:rRNA from 1 species